GUGGGGAAUCUUGCGCAAUGGGCGAAAGCCUGACGCAGCCAUGCCGCGUGAAUGAUGAAGGUCUUAGGAUUGUAAAAUUCUUUCACCGGGGACGAUAAUGACGGUACCCGGAGAAGAAGCCCCGGCUAACUUCGUGCCAGCAGCCGCGGUAAUACGAAGGGGGCUAGCGUUGCUCGGAAUUACUGGGCGUAAAGGGCGCGUAGGCGGACAGUUUAGUCAGAGGUGAAAGCCCAGGGCUCAACCUUGGAAUUGCCUUUGAUACUGGCUGUCUUGAGUACGGGAGAGGUGAGUGGAACUCCGAAUGUAGAGGUGAAAUUCGUAGAUAUUCGGAAGAACACCAGUGGCGAAGGCGACUCACUGGCCCGUUACUGACGCUGAGGCGCGAAAGCGUGGGGAGCAAACAGGAUUAGAAACCCUGGUAGUCC
rnacentral:rRNA from 1 species